AGCGAACGCUGGCGGCAGGCCUAACACAUGCAAGUCGAACGGUAGCACAUUAUACUCUUGCUAUUACGAGUGGCGAGGGGCGGACGGGUGAGGAAUACAUCGUAAUCUUUUUUUUCGUGGGGGACAACUUAGGGCAACUUAUGCUACUACAUCAUAACAUUUACGGGUAAAAUCAGGGGUGCUUUAGACAUUUCCCGAUCGAAUGAAUCGAUGUCCGAUGUGUUAGUUGGGUGGGUAAAGGCCCACCAAGGGGACAGACCGUAGCUGGUCUGAGAGGAUGAUCGCCCACACUGGAACGAGAAAACGGUCCAACCUCCUACGGGAGGAGGAGGUGGGGAAUAUUGGACAAUGAGCGAAAGCCUGAUCCAGCCAUACCGGGUGGGUAAAGAAGGCCUUCGAGUUUUAAAGCCCUUUUGUUGAGAAAGAAAAGCAGCAGGUUAAUACCCCGCUGUUCUGACGGUACCCAAAGAGUAAGCACCGGCUAACUUCGUG
rnacentral:rRNA from 1 species